UCAAAACAGCGGACUUCGGUCCUUGCUGCACCCUUGUCUUUUGCGCACCGUAUUGUUUCCUCGGCGGGCUUGCCUGCCGGUUGGACAUUAUCAAAACCUUUUUGUAGUUGCAAUCAGCGUCAGAAAAAACAAUAAUUAUUA
rnacentral:misc_RNA from 1 species